AGGACGAACGCUGGCGGCGUGCUUAACACAUGCAAGUCGAGCGGAAAGGCCCUUCGGGGUACUCGAGCGGCGAACGGGUGAGUAACACGUGAGUAAUCUGCCCCUAGCUCUGGGAUAGCUCCGGGAAACCGGGAUUAAUACCGGAUAUGACCACUUUAGACAUCUGUUGUGGUGGAAAGAAUUUCGGCUAGGGAUGAGCUCGCGGCCUAUCAGCUUGUUGGUGGGGUAACGGCCUACCAAGGCGACGACGGGUAGCCGGCCUGAGAGGGCGACCGGCCACACUGGGACUGAGACACGGCCCAGACUCCUACGGGAGGCAGCAGUGGGGAAUAUUGCGCAAUGGGGCGAAAGCCUGACGCAGCGACGCCGCGUGGGGGAUGGAAGGCCUUCGGGUUGUAAACCCCUUUCAGCAGGGACGAAGCGAAAGUGACGGUACCUGCAGAAGAAGCGCCGGCUAACUACGUGCCAGCAGCCGC
rnacentral:rRNA from 1 species